rnacentral:rRNA from 1 species
CGUAAGGACCGAGCGUUGUCCGGAAUCAUUGGGCGUAAAGGGUACGUAGGCGGCUAGAAAGUUAGAAGUCAAAGGCUAUAGCUCAACUAUAGUAAGCUUCUAAAACUAUUUAGCUUGAGAAAUGGAAGGGAAAGUGGAAUUCCUAGUGUAGCGGUGGAAUGCGCAGAUAUUAGGAAGAAUACCGGUGGCGAAGGCGACUUUCUGGCCAUUAUCUGACGCUGAGGUACGAAAGCGUGGUAGCAAACAGGAUU